rnacentral:rRNA from 1 species
AGAUUGAACGCUGGCGGCAGGCCUAACACAUGCAAGUCGAGCGGCAGCACGGGUACUUGUACCUGGUGGCGAGCGGCGGACGGGUGAGUAAUGCCUAGGAAUCUGCCUGGUAGUGGGGGAUAACGCUCGGAAACGGACGCUAAUACCGCAUACGUCCUACGGGAGAAAGCAGGGGACCUUCGGGCCUUGCGCUAUCAGAUGAGCCUAGGUCGGAUUAGCUAGUUGGUGAGGUAAUGGCUCACCAAGGCGACGAUCCGUAACUGGUCUGAGAGGAUGAUCAGUCACACUGGAACUGAGACACGGUCCAGACUCCUACGGGAGGCAGCAGUGGGAAUAUUGGACAAUGGGCGAAAGCCUGAUCCAGCCAUGCCGCGUGUGUGAAGAAGGCCUUCGGUUGUAAGGUCCCUUUUAGGUGGAAAGAAAAGACAUUCGGUUAAUACCCGGUGUUCGUGACGUAACCAAAGAAUAAGCACGC